CGAGUUUCGUUGAUUGUACAACCUCAAAGUGCACAACAACUAUAAUGAAGCAUAUAAAUAUAUUUUUCCUAAUUAUAUUAAUAAUUUUAAUUAAAAUUGUAAAAACGCAACACAUUUGUAAUGUUUGCGACGACGCAUACAAUUGUAUCGGUUCUGAAGAUAAAACUAAUCCAUAUAGAGUAGAGCUUUGUGAGGAGCAUUGUUGUCGUCAACCAUACUCAGAAGACAGUUUCUGGUACCUGGAUGAAUUUAAUUUUAAUAAGAGAACACGCAGUGACGAAAGCACUACUUAAUUGCGGCGUGUGGUGUGAAACAAUUUUACUUAUUUAGAUAUUUAGAACAUAUCAUUGCAGCGCGCGCGAACAACGAUAUAAUUUACAAUGACCAAUGUCGUUAUUCCCCAACAGCUCGUUAUUUUGCAAGCGAAUAAUGUUAAUAAUGCACAUAUUUAAAGCUUUCGCAAUUCGGCGCAAUGCCGCCGCAAAAAGCGCUUGCAAAUUAAAAUUAACUAAGUACGAAGCUAAAUGCUUCUUUGCGCACCGAGAUAAAAUAGUUUCGCGCUGCGCACGUAAACAAACAGCGGCAAAAAUGUAAUUCACGGCGUGUUUUGCGUUUCGUGUCGACCUGCAAUAUAUUUUCAAGAAAAGAGUUUAGAAUUUACUUAAGAAAUACAAAUGCUAAGUCAGAAAGAAAAGAAAGUUAUGUAACACAUGUAAAUAUAUCUCUUAUUUGAUUACAAAUAAAAUGUCUAUAGUAGUGCUCCAAA